rnacentral:rRNA from 1 species
UACGUAGGGCGCAAGCGUUGUCCGGAAUUAUUGGGCGUAAAGAGCUCGUAGGCGGUCUGUCGCGUCUGCUGUGAAAUCCCGAGGCUCAACCUCGGGCUUGCAGUGGGUACGGGCAGACUAGAGUGCGGUAGGGGAGAAUGGAAUUCCUGGUGUAGCGGUGGAAUGCGCAGAUAUCAGGAGGAACACCGAUGGCGAAGGCAGUUCUCUGGCCGUAACUGACGCUGAGGAGCGAAAGCGUGGGGAGCGA